CAGCCGCCACGGUAAUACGUAGGUGGCAAGCGUUGUCCGGAAUUAUUGGGCGUAAAGGGCUCGCAGGCGGUCUCUUAAGUCUGAUGUGAAAGCCCCCGGCUCAACCGGGGAGGGUCAUUGGAAACUGGGAAACUUGAGUGCAGAAGAGGAGAGUGGAAUUCCACGUGUAGCGGUGAAAUGCGUAGAGAUGUGGAGGAACACCAGUGGCGAAGGCGACUCUCUGGUCUGUAACUGACGCUGAGGAGCGAAAGCGUGGGGAGCGAACAGGAUUAGAUACCCCGGUAGUCCCUGUCUCUUAUAC
rnacentral:rRNA from 1 species